rnacentral:rRNA from 1 species
AGAGUUUGAUCAUGGCUCAGGACGAACGCUGGCGGCGUGCUUAACACAUGCAAGUCGAACGGUGACGAGGGGCUUGCCCUUCUGAUCAGUGGCGAACGGGUGAGUAACACGUGAGUAACCUGCCCUUCACUCUGGGAUAACGCUGGGAAACUGGUGCUAAUACUGGAUAUGACCUGCUCGGGCAUCCGAUGUGGGUGGAAAGAUUUAUUGGUGGAGGAUGGACUCSCGGCCUAUCAGCUUGUUGGUGAGGUAAUGGCUCACCAAGGCGACGACGGGUAGCCGGCCUGAGAGGGCGAUCGGCCACACUGGGACUGAGACACGGCCCAGACUCCUACGGGAGGCAGCAGUGGGGAAUAUUGCACAAUGGGCGAAAGCCUGAUGCAGCGACGCCGCGUGAGGGAUGAAGGCCUUCGGGUUGUAAACCUCUUUCAGCAGGGAAGAAGCGUCUGGGUUUUCUCAGGUGUGACGGUACCUGCAGAAGAAGCACCGGCUAACUACGUGCCAGCAGCCCGCGGUAAUACGUAGGGUGCAAGCGUUGUCCCGGAAUUAUUGGGCGUAAAGAGCUUGUAGGCGGUUUGUCGCGUCUGCUGUGAAAUUUCGGGGCUCAACCCCGAACUUGCAGUGGGUACGGGCAGACUAGAGUGUGGUAGGGAGASUGGAAUUCCUGGUGUAGCGGUGAAAUGCGCAGAUAUCCAGAGGAAC